CACAACGUCUACCCUAAUUACUGAUGUAAAAUGUAACCAGAAAGAAUGUCUGGGCUUUGGCUUGACUGUGAAAGACUUCAAUAAAGAUGUCAAAAUGCUAAGAAGCCAGGACUUAAAGAAGACAAGGAAAUAGGAUAUAGCCAAUGUUUAUUCAUCCAUCUCAAAAGCCUGCAUGAGUUGCAGAGGGGACAAAUUAUUAUUUGGCAUUUUCUUUAUGCUGUAAACAGACAUAUCAAGGCUUGGCUUUGAUUCAGAAGCAAUUCCCUCCCUUGAAUCCUGUAGAAGAACAACAUAAUGUGAGAUUGAAAAAAGAAGGAAUUUCUGGAGAUGGUGGGCAUGACUAACUCUGAAGGGCUGGUUCCGCACUGGGGCUGCCCUGGCCUAGAGGUGCAGCUGCACGAUAUUGAUGUAGCAUCUUCUCAUUUUCAGCACAAAGCUUUCCAUCUUUUCUAGAAUGCAGUAGGUAACAGAAGACAACUUUAUAAACAUCACGUGUCCCCAGCUGGUCCUUCACAGAAGAAUUCAGAACAACACCUUGAGGAAAGACAGUAUUAGAU
ensembl:lncRNA